rnacentral:lncRNA from 10 species
ACUCAGCAAAACAAGGUUUCUCAUUAAGGCACAUCCUCCUUAGAAGGUUAUAGACUCCCUGAGGUUAAUAGCCUCCACUCGUGUCUCCAAGGGAAAGAGAUCGUCCUCCGCCAAGGAUAAUAGAACACACAGACACUGUCUCAGUCUCAUCCUUGAUAAACUGCUGCAUGAUCACUGCUGUCUGCCGAAGACCAGCAGCAGGGCAGAACAAAACAGAUGUACGGGAACUCCAUGCAGAGAAGCAGACUUGAUCACCAUCUACUCAGGGAUGCUCAAGGAGACUGGGCAGUCUAAGCUCCAGUGGACUGAAGAAAAGACAAAAAGAGGCAGAGGAAAUCCAAAAAGUAGAAUGUCAGACUAUAUUCCACUCAAAUUGUCUCAGUCAUUUGUUAGGAAGAAAGUACAGAGCCCUGACCCCAAAAUAAAG